rnacentral:lncRNA from 1 species
AUUUGCUGUUACCUGCAUUGCGAAUUCUUAGGCUAGGUUCCCGUCCCCACUUUCUCCAUUUUAGGGUUAGGGUCCAAGCAACUAGGCGUGGAAAGCAUAUCCCUUACUCGCAUUCGCCUAAUCGAGCAGAAGGCCACUCGGUGAUCAUCCUAUAACUGGCUAGAGUGAGUGUCACAUUACCUAUAACAGGCUAGUUUGAAUGCAGUAAUUAAGGGCACAGGUUUCUAUGGUUCUAUUUAGUCCUGAUUGAUGAGGGUUGUCAAAGACCGGAUCUUUGCACUUCGCAACCCUAUCAGAGUAUGUGCUUAGUGCAAGGCCUCAUAGAAGUU